CCUUGGUAGUCAUCAGGGGUCGUUUUGGCUGCUGUGACUUUAAAAAUGAGGAGCAGAGGGAGGUGUUCACAUUUUCCCACAUGCUGGAGCCAAGGAGCUGUUAAACCUCAUGUGAGGUCCUGCUGCAAAGGGGAUGGUUGUCCCAUGAGCUCACUGUCUGCUGGGUUGGCGAGUGCAUGGGGAGCAGGUGGCUCUGUUUGACAGCGGUGAUGCCGAUGGGCUGCAGGCUGUGCUCUUCCCCAUCCCGGGCUCAGUCCUUCCCUUCCUAAAGCCACCAGAGAUCCAAGGAAGACAACAUCCCAGCAACUCUGCACUGGGAACCAUCAGGGAGAAAAACCACAGAUGACAGAGGUAAGGAGAAAUAGCAGGAGGAGAGUAGCCAAAACUGGACACAAAGCUAGACAAGGACCCACUGCUGCAUGAAGAGCAGGGUGAAGCUGAAGGCUCUUCUUGCUUGUAAUGAAAUCUGCCUUGUACACAGUUAAACCACUUUCCAGUUUCACUGCAGACCAGAAGUCCUUUCUCCAUGCCUAACUGAGGAAACCAUCGUGGUUCUGCAGGCAGAAGGUCCUAGAGGGAAGCUGAGCCAGUGCAGCGAUGCUGCCUCGUAGCAGCAUCAUACUUGUACUCAUAGCAGGGUGACUUUCAGACAUCCUUACAUCACUUUUGUGUAAGAAGCUAGGCCUGAAUUCACAUAUCACACACGCAAAUAAUCAAUUGCUGGAGAAGAAAGGAAUUGCUUGUGGUCUGAAGCCUCAGUCCAGUCCCAAUGACUCUAAAUUAAUUAGGUGCCCUGUGCUUUCUUGAGUGGUGAUGCUUUCCUGAAACAUGGUCUUAGGUCAGCCAUAAUAUCCUGCAGAUAAACAUUCCCCCCCGCACCUUGCAUCUACAAAGAGAGGUAGCUUUGGACUGCAUAUUUAUAGUCAGACCCUGAGCUAUAAAUGGGACAUUUCUGCCUCAUGCAUUCCCUUAAGGGCCCAUAAGACUGCACACAUCAGCUAAGUAAUAUUUUACUGGGAUUUUCUUUAAUGACUUCAAGAGUGCUUAUUCUUGCCCCCAAUGAGCACUGCACAACUAACGUAACUCUACAAUUAAUCCUGAGUUACUCAUACACUGGACUCCAUUUUCCCUUCCAUUCAGGACAAGUUUUAAAAGGUUAUUGCUUUCCCCCUCCUUUCUCUUUCUUUUUAGUUUUAAAGACUUCUUUAAUCAGACCAAAUGGGGCUUAAAAGUACUGGAAACGUCUGGUUUUCUUUCAUUCUCAGCCUGUUCAAAAUCAAGCUAACGACAAAGGACAAGUGAAGUGCUUUGCAUUCACAAGCUGUGAAGAGGGACGUGAGGGAGAGGGAGUCCUUCACACAUUGCUGAUGCUCACUUGUGGACACGAAUUUCUGAGCAACUGCGGAGGGAUAAAGGUGUUUCUAUACAUGUUAGAUCUCUGUUUUGUGAUUGACCUCCACAAGAGGGUCAGUUUAAAAUGCAUUGAAAGCUGAGUGGACACUUGAGGCAAAUGCUGGAAAGAGAAUGAGAUAGACUUGAGGAAAAACAGCUCCCCCACACAUGGUUAAUGGUAAGGACCCCAAACCAGCCACAUGCUAACAAGUGCUGGGAUGCUCACAGCAUCCAUGAAAGCUGUGAUCUCAGGGAUGUCUCCUCCAAGGCACUCAGCACACACGAAGCAAGGCAGGGACAACCCAAAGGGGGAGCUCCACCAUUUCCAGAUGUUCCUAGGGAAUUUUAGCCCCUCUCUGUGGUCUAAUAUUCAAUGUUUGAUCUGCUCAUUGCCAGCAAAGACGGGGAACACCUGAAGCCUCCUAAUACUGUCAACUGCAGCAUGUCUUGCAGGCAACUUUGCACUCUUCAUCAUGAUGCUGAAUGAAAACACCUGGAUAGGGGUAUGCUGCUGGGGAGCAGCUGCAGGUUAUCUACCAUUGUGGGUGGACCAUGGAAACCUCCCUGAGGAGAUCCUG